rnacentral:tRNA from 2 species
CGGUGUAGUGUAAGGGUAGCACACCAGACUCUGACUCUGUUUGUAAGGGUUCGAAUCCUUUCACCG